rnacentral:rRNA from 1 species
AUACAGGUGGCGAAGGAGGCCCUCUGCGCGAAGAUGCAGCUCAGGUGCGAAAGGGUGGGGAGCACCCAGGUUUAGAUCCCCUGGUAGUCCCCGCUGUAAACGAUGUCAAUUGAGAGGUUGUCCCCUUGAGGCGUGGCUUCCGGAGCUAACGCGUUAAAUCGACNGCCUGGGGAGUACGGCCGCAAGGUUAAAACUCAAAUGAAUUGACGGGGGCCCGCACAAGCGGUGGAGCAUGUGGUUUAAUUCGAUGCAACGCGAAGAACCUUACCUACUCUUGACAUCCAGAGAACUUAGCAGAGAUGCUUUGGUGCCUUCGGGAACUCUGAGACAGGUGCUGCAUGGCUGUCGUCAGCUCGUGUUGUGAAAUGUUGGGUUAAGUCCCGCAACGAGCGCAACCCUUAUCCUUUGUUGCCAGCGGUUCGGCCGGGAACUCAAAGGAGACUGCCAGUGAUAAACUGGAGGAAGGUGGGGAUGACGUCAAGUCAUCAUGGCCCUUACGAGUAGGGCUACACACGUGCUACAAUGGCGUAUACAAAGAGAAGCGACCUCGCGAGAGCAAGCGGACCUCAUAAAGUACGUCGUAGUCCGGAUUGGAGUCUGCAACUCGGCUCCAUGAAGUCGGAAUCGCUAGUAAUCGUAGAUCAGAAUGCUACGGUGAAUACGUUCCCGGGCCUUGUACACACCGCCCGUCACACCAUGGGAGUGGGUUGCAAAAGAAGUAGGUAGCUUAACCUUCGGGAGGGCGCUUACCACUUUGUGAUUCAUGACUGAGGUGAAGUCGUAACAAGGUAGCCGUAAAUCGAAUUCC